GACCGUGCGUGAGCUAUAGAGAGCAGGACUACAGUCGAUGAGCGCGCUGCGCUCUCUCGUCGUGUCUGAAUAUGCGAUUUUUCUGAUGAUAUUUUGACUGUAUAUCAUUGAAAAUAAUUAAUUUUUCGGAAAAAAAUAAUGAUUAAAGUAAUCAAAUACGGUUUUUGUCCGAUCAACAAUGAUCGCAUUAAAAAUCAAAAUGACGUAAAAGGAAAAAAACUGUUUGAAUCGAAUGACGUUUUAAAUGUCGUCGCGAAACAGAAAUAAGUUUAGUGGAUGAGUUGAGAGUGUUUAACGUUUAGAUCCAUUUUUGGUCCGUUUCUCACUUUUCCAUGCGGAGAAUGGACUGUGUGCCCAGAGCAGGCUCUGGGAAAUAAUAAAAUUUUACUGGAUAUAUACUUGAACGUCUCGACACGUAGAAAUUGUGCAUUAGAGUACUGCUUUGGAAUGCAACAAUAUUUUCUCGAUGGAGACAUGAUAAAAAAUAAUAAUGUUAUUUUGUUAAAUAAUAUAUGCGAAAAGUAAUAAUUGCCAUGUGCGCCUGCUUCAAAUAGCACCUAGGAAGUUUUGAAAUUGUCCACAUAGUGACACUGUAGACGCUGCGCGCACGGUCCCUUGUGAUAAGAGCGAGACGCGGUGAAGGUCACCCUGCGAAGGACGUCGGCAAGCUCAUGUAUUCGGUUAUACUUUUUCGCGACACGCUGAUGAGACGAAAACUUGAUUUCGGUGGAGGGAUAUGUUGGGUUACUACGCACGACAGUUUCGGUUCUCGAUUCGUCAUAAAAACAGGCUAUAUAACCCAAACAAGCCGGAACAUCCCGCCUAUAUAUGACUGAAACACGCCGAGACAUGGUUGCGACCCCAAAAACGGCUUCGACCCAAACAAACCAAAAGACGGCUUCUGAAAUAUUAAAUAAACUUGGGUUGAUAUAAUUGAGAGAUUGAUACGCCUUGAGUGCACGACACGUUGUUACAUCGAAUAAAUAAAGCUCUUUUAUUGUAA